AAGAGUUGAUUAAUUCUUUGUGUUUUCUCUCCACCAGAAGUCAUUAUACUUUGCAAUAUCAUGAUGGCCAUGAAUAAAAGAUGACUUCUGGUUAGGAAUGAAAAGCAGGAACAGAUAAAGAUGAAACAAAUAUUUUUUUCAAAUAUAAGUGUGAUUCAUGACAGAUAACUAAGAAAAAAGACAGAAAAUGUACUGUGCAAGGAAAAGAAGUUCAGCUAAAUUCACCUUUUGAACAAGAUCCUGUGCACUACUUAAGACUAAAUCAAGAAUUGCCUCUCCCUUGUGGGUUCGAGGACUAACUGCUGCAAGAAGCAAUCAUUAAUGAUGUCUAGAAAUUUUCUCUCUGCAUCCCAACCUGAGUUUGAUGUUCUCCUUCCCGGAGGCUCUCAUCCUCCUCAACAGCACAAAGGCUGUCAGACUUGUGCUGGGACCACUCUACUGUGUCCUGUAACAGCUAGAGGCCCUGCUCAGGGAAGAUCACGAUCAGGCUGAAACGGUCAUUGUGGACGUAUGUAAAGGAAAGGCAAUCCCUGCUCCACGGAGUUUAAUUUUGGCAUGAGACAAGUAAUGGAGAGAACAAUCGCAAUUUGGCAGGAAGAACAAGCUAGUGAAGAACGAGCAAAGCAGCAGGAGCAGAGCUGAGGACAUGGCCAGCCAGCCUGCUUCCCACGAGACGGAUUCACCGGCCAGAAUCCGCCCCGCGCGGGGCUGCAGCCAGUGCUGUACGAGGAAGGGAGCAGGACUGCUCCGCAGCCGGAAGGGGAAGGAGAGAGUUUCUCCUGCCAACAGAGCGAGGCUGCGUGGGGCAGGCCGGAUUAUGGCUCACAGAUGGGAAGGGAGACCCCGGCCGGCUCCAGCCCAGUCCUGGGUUAAGUGAGCCAAGCGGUGGGGGCGGGGGUACCUCCAGAGAGGAGCCCCCGGCCCCUGUAGGGGGCUGUGUCCCCCCGCGCAAGUGGGGCUGAGUUAACGGGGGGAGCAGACGCGAAUGGACCCCUCAGCCCCACCAGGGGCGCUGGAGUUACCGGGGGUGGGGGGCUGGACCCCUCUCACCUCCACGCGGGACCUGGGCGGGGGUGAGUGCGCUACAAAGAGGCAAAGGCUGUUAAGGCCCCCGGGCAGCGGAACCUGCGGGGGAAGGGGGGCCCUCCUGUCCCGCGCCGCGUCAGUGAGGGGAGCCGCCCGCCGCCCCAGCCCGACCCUGGAGUCCCCAGGGAGCAGCGCGAACU